CAGCAGCCGCGGUAAUACGUAGGGUGCAAGCGUUAAUCGGAAUUACUGGGCGUAAAGCGUGCGCAGGCGGUGUUGUAAGACUGAUGUGAAAUCCCCGGGCUCAACCCGGGAACUGCAUUGGUGACUGCAACGCUGGAGUGCGGCAGAGGGGGAUGGAAUUCCGCGUGUAGCAGUGAAAUGCGUAGAUAUGCGGAGGAACACCGAUGGCGAAGGCAAUCCCCUGGGCCUGCACUGACGCUCAUGCACGAAAGCGUGGGGAGCAAACAGGAUUAGAUACCCCCGUAGUCCCUGUCUCUUAUAC
rnacentral:rRNA from 1 species